UACUCCUUGAGUAUGUGCUAAAUUUAAUAAGAAUAUACAAAAGAUUUUCCAUAGAAGCUAAAAAAUGACUUAAAAUACACAAGGUAAUAGCAGAGUACACACAAGAAGAAAAGUAACCGCACUGGAUACCAAAGACAGUGGUGGACCUCUUUCUUAAUGCCCAAUGUCCUUUGUCUUAAGAUUUGGUGCAAUAAGU
ensembl:snoRNA